rnacentral:rRNA from 1 species
UAGUAGCGGCGAGUGAAGCGGCAAAAGCUCAAAUUUGAAAUCUGGCGCCUUCGGUGUCCGAGUUGUAAUUUGAAGAUUGUAACCUUGGGGUUGGCUCUUGUCUAUGUUUCUUGGAACAGGACGUCACAGAGGGUGAGAAUCCCGUGCGAUGAGAUGCCCAAUUCUAUGUAAGGUGCUUUCGAAGAGUCGAGUUGUUUGGGAAUGCAGCUCUAAGUGGGUGGUAAAUUCCAUCUAAAGCUAAAUAUUGGCGAGAGACCGAUAGCGAACAAGUACAGUGAUGGAAAGAUGAAAAGAACUUUGAAAAGAGAGUGAAAAAGUACGUGAAAUUGUUGAAAGGGAAGGGUUUGAGAUCAGACUCGAUAUUUUGUGAGCCUUGCCUUCGUGGCGGGGUGACCCGCAGCUUAUCGGGCCAGCAUCGGUUUGGGCGGUAGGAUAAUGGCGUAGGAAUGUGACUUUACUUCGGUGAAGUGUUAUAGCCUGCGUUGAUGCUGCCUGCCUAGACCGAGGACUGCGAUUUUAUCAAGGAUGCUGGCAUAAUGAUCCCAAACCGCCC